rnacentral:siRNA from 1 species
CCCACGGACUGCCCAGACUCCC